GUGCAGGUGCUCUGUCUCUUCGGGAGAGGAUGCGGAUGGAAGGACGGGGGAGGGAAGGGAUGAAGGGAAACGCCACGAGGAAAGAAAAUAGGAUAUGAUAAAGGGGCUUUUGCUAAGAGACCGUGAAGUGCAAGGUCGAAUAUGAGAGAUUGGUUGAGCGGGGCACUUUGCGUGGUAAUAGCUGGUCGGCAAUAGUACUAUGAUUUGGUAUGUGGCCACUCUGAUAGCAAGUGUAUUCAGCACCAGAGGAACGGCCGCUCAAGGUGCCCACGGAGUGAGAGAGGAGCCCCGGUUUGUGACGGCGCGCGCCGGAGAGAGCGUGAUCCUGGGGUGUGACGUGUCCCCUCCCCUGGACGGCCAGCAGCCCCCCUAUGUGGUGGAGUGGUUCAAGUUUGGAGUGCCUAUUCCCUUCUUCAUCAACUUCCGCUUCUACCCUCCUCAUGUGGAUCCAGAGUACACUGGUAGAGCCUCUCUGCAUGGGAAGGCUUCCCUACAGAUCGACCCAGUGCGCUCCGAUGACCAGGGCUGGUACGAGUGCAGGGUCCUGAUGCUGGAGCAACAGUACGACACCUUCCACAACGGCAGCUGGGUGCACCUCACAGUCAAUGCCCCACCGUCCUUUACAGCGACGCCGCCACAGUAUGUGGAGGCGAAGGAAGGGGGAAGCACUCAGCUCAGCUGCUCUGCCCAGGGAAAUCCAAAACCAAUAAUCAGCUGGCUGAGGGAGGGAGAGGAGCUUGCAACCAAUGCAAAAUAUUCAAUACAUGAUGGCAGUGUCACCAUCCUGGGCAUCACUAGGGAUGACAGAGGGGCGUACACGUGCCGGGCCUACAGUGACCAGGGAGAGGUGCUGCACACCACCCGUCUGCUGGUUCAAGGGCCUCCAUACAUCGUCUCUCCACCAGAAAACGUCACUGUCAACAUAUCCCAGAAUGCACUUUUCACCUGCCAAGCGGAGGCGUAUCCUGGCAACCUGACCUACACCUGGUUCUGGGAAGAGGAUAACGUCUACUUUAAGAAUGAUCUGAAGCUCCGAGUGCGCAUCCUAAUCGACGGCACGCUUAUCAUCUUCCGGGUCAAGCCAGAGGAUGCUGGGAAAUACACCUGCAGUCCGAGCAACAGCCUCGGUAUCUCCCCCUCGGCAUCAGCCUACCUGACUGUUCAGUACCCUGCCCGUGUGAUCAACAUGCCGCCUGUCAUCUACGUCCCACGGAAACUGCCAGGCGUCAUCCGCUGCCCGGUGGACGCCAACCCGCCUGUGACAUUAGUGAAAUGGGAGAAAGACGGCUAUCCUCUCAGAGUAGAGAAGUACCCCGGUUGGAGCCUGAUGCAGGAUGGCAGUAUCAGGGUGGCGGAGGCAACAGAAGACUCCCUGGGCACCUACACCUGUGUGCCUUACAACGCCCUGGGUACCAUGGGCAUGUCCCCCCCUGCCACUUUGGUGCUAAAGGAUCCCCCUUACUUUAAUGUGAGGCCUGGGGGGGAGUAUCGCCAGGAGGCUGGGAGAGAGCUUACUAUCCCCUGUGCUGCUUCUGGAGACCCUGACAUACCAUCCAUUACCUGGAGAAAGGUGGGGAAGCCGAGCAAGAGUAAGCACAACAUCCUACCCAGUGGCAGCUUACAGUUUCUGUCCCUCAGCAAGGAGGACCACGGAGAAUGGGAGUGUGUAGCCACCAAUGUGGUCACGAGCAUCACUGCCAGCACGCGAAUCCUAGUCAUCGGCACCAGCCCACAUGCUCCUGGCAACAUCCACGUAUUGCCCUCCACAACCUCUGCUAAUGUGUCCUGGGAACCAGGAUAUGAUGGCGGCUUCGAACAGACAUUUUCUGUGUGGUACGGUCCAGUGUCAAAGAGAACAGACUUUGGUCCUCACGACUGGCACUCCAUGCCAGUUUCUGGGGCUCUGACGUGGUUGGUGGUGACGGGGCUGGAGGCCGGGACAGAGUACCAGUUCAGUGUGUUGGCGCAGAACAAACUGGGCACGGGCCCAUUCAGCCAAGUUGUGACAGUCAACACUUUAGGCUCUCCUCUGGGUACCCCAGAACCACUGGUGCUUCUUACUCCACCACGGUGCCUAACAGCCAAUCGCACGCAGCACGGUGUCCUCCUCACAUGGCUCCCUCCAGGCAACCACUCCUCGCCCAUCGACCGAUAUAUCAUGGAGUUCCGCCUCGGGGAGAGGUGGGAGGUUCUGGAUGACCUGAUCCCGUCCACCGAGACCGAGCUCAUAGCCAGAGACCUCGUUCAGGAGUCCUGGUAUGAGUUUCGGGUGAUGGCUGUCAUGGAUGACCUGAUCAGUGAAAGCAGCAACGUAGUGGGAGUGUCGAGCACCGAUCCCUUCCCUCCUGCGGAGUUGCCUGAUGAGGGGCUGGCGCGGCCGGUGGUGGCGGGUGUCGUGGCAACUAUCUGUUUUCUGGCAGCAGCGGUACUGUUCAGCACUCUAGCAGCUUGCUUUGUCAAUAAGCAACACCGUCGCAAACUGAAGCGUAAACCAGAUCCUCCCUUGUCGGUGACACACUUCAGGAAAAGCAUUGAGUCACCGUUAUCAUCUGGGAAAAUAAGUCCAGAGAGCUCUCCUCCAUCUAGGCCCCGCUCUCUUUCUUCAGACGGGUCCCAGGGCCCGGGGCUGUACGUCAGGAAGCUGCCCAGCCCUCUGAGGGAUCGAGACAAAGAGCUCUCCUUCUACAAGAAAACCAAGCGUGCCAUAGCCAGCAAGAAAUACAGUGUGUCAAAGUAUGAGUCAGAGGUCACCACGCCUAUUGAGCUGAUAAGCCGCGGCCCUGAUGGCCGCUUCACCAUGGAGAGCCCACCGGCCCGCCGCAUCCACGGCUUCCCCUUCGCAGAGGAGUCUGACAUGUACCCCGAGUUCCGGCAGUCUGAUGAGGAGAAUGAUUUUGACCCCGGGCCUCUGCCGCCCAUCAUGCCCACGCUGCGGCCCCAGCUCUCCCCAACGUCCUCCAGCCUGGAGUCAACGCAGCCCCCCAACUACAGCCCCCGCCUCCACAGGGCCAUGGAAGGUAUGAGCUUUGCAGAGGGCAGUGCACUUCACGCCUCAGGGCAGGCCCCGGCCUCCCGCUACAGGGGCUUUCCCCAGGGCCCGUUCUAUGGGUAUCUAGGCAGCCGUAUUGAAUCAGGGAUUCCACCACCAUUCUACAUGCCUGACAUCAGCCCGCGCAGCUCUGCUCUGUCCUCCCCCCCAGGCACCGCCGAGGGGCCCUUUGGUUACCCCUCCAUCCCUGAGGAGAGUGGCGAGAUGGAGCACCAUCAGUACACUGCCUCUGGCCAUUCUCUGUCGCACACACACAGCCCACCUUGCUCUCCUGACAGCUGGCAGCCUCAUGAGUUACCCUUCCUGGGUCUAGAGGGCCCACGGUUCAUAUACCCGCCUCACCAUCCCUUGCAUCAUUCCCAGGACCUCCCUGAUCCACCCCCAUACCCUCCUCACUCUCACCCCCACGGUCGCCUGCACCUCUCUUCCCUAAAGGACCCAUCAAGCCCUGGCCUCCUGCAGCUGGAGGUCCCUAUGGCUCCCCAAGGCAGAGACCGGCCCAUGGGGCCCCCGGUUAGGCGUUUAACUAUGCAACAGGCCCAGAGUCUCGGCCAUCUCAGACACACGGCCCACGGUGUGGGUGUACCAGUGUUGCCUUACCCUGACCCGGCAGCCCGUGCAGGGAGCCCAAGCACAGCCCCCAGUAGUAGCCCUCAGUCCUGGCUCAGCCCGAGAGCGCAUCGCCGGGCAGACCCCAGCCUACCCCCAUUAGUACUCCAGCCCUCCCGCCUCUCUCCACUCUCCCAAAGCCCCCUUAGCACCCAGCCAGGUUCCCCAGAUAUCCUAGUGCGGCCCCCUCCCCGCCCCAGCAUCCUCCGCACCUCUCGGUCUCUGGAGAUGCAUGAAAUCUCCCUGCAGCCCACUGUCAGUUUCUCCCGGAGGUCUUCCCCGUCCGCCUCUCCCACUCAGAGCCAUGCCACCAGGCAACCCAGCCCCAGUUACCACGCCCACAUGUCCUAUGCCUCCACUGCAGCCAGUUACCCCUCCCAGUCCCCCUCUCCCCCUCUGGAGGGCAGGGAUGUGUUCGGGCAGAGGCCGUCCCAGAGAAGGACGGAGGAGGAGAUGCUGCCCUCAGAGCCCUCUCAGCUCCAGAUAUCAGCCUCAGGCUAUCUGGGCAGCGUUGUGACCCGGUCCCCUACGCCGCAAUAGAGAACUUCUAGGUGCGUCUAGUGAUCCUGCCGGGUCUGAGAGCUUACCAGCACUGCUACACCACUGUAUUACUAAAGCCAAGGGAGGGGCUGCCAACAACAAUAACAACACAACCUCCGUAAGAAGAACAGGUGUGUGUCCCUCUCAGACCCAGCAGCAAUCUCAGACCCCCCAAGAGGGAGAGGAUCUCCACAGAAAGAGGAAAAGGCAAAACAAGAAGAACCCCUAUGUCUAUUUGACCUCCUUCCUGCACCGCAGGCAGUCUGAGGAGGACCAGACAGGCAUACUGGCCAGUGCAGACUCCGAGGGCCCAAAUUACGGCACUCUACGCUGACCCGUGUGCCCCCAAGCCAUUGGACUAGACUGAACCCACCUCAGCCCUCCUUGCUCCACCCCGGGCUCUAGCUAACACAUUUCUUAUAAUCUCUAAAAGUUCAUCAGUGCUGGGCAGCGAGAAACAUCCAGCUGAAAACUCCGGGGGUUGAAAAUCUCAUUUGAAGUCAAGAACAAUGGCUUUUCUGACUUGGCACCACCACUUGUCUCUGAGGAAUUUCACUUGAAAACAUUUCAAACAUAUAUAAUGUAUAUAAAUAGUAAAAACAAGGGAAUUAAGCUUCCUUCUACAGUAAUAAAAAUGUGUUGGUUGAGUAUGUCACAACACGUAAACGAUUUUUCACUCACUGGUCAUUGAUAGGUCCAUAUCUUUAGGUUUUCCAGUGAUACAGUGUACUGUGAAACCUGGUGCGUCCUCGGACAUGGACAUGGGUCUACCUUUCCUACAAUACAAAUAGCGUCAAUAUUAAAACACAGGGUUCUUACCACAAAAUAUACCUCAGAGUAAACGCAGAGUUGCUGUAAAUCUUUGGGUAUACUGUAAGUACUUGACCUUUUUACAUAUGAAACGUAUGGAUUAAAAGGUUUAUAUCACACGCCGCACUCAUUCAGACAGAUAAUAUGGCCUAACUUGAUCUAAUUUAGCUUUUUACUAUCGAUAAUAGCUGGAAUCUUGUGUUUAUUUUCAUGUAUGAUUCAAUGCCAACCAUUAGAGGACUGUCUUAAUUGUUGUGCUUGAUGGCUGAGUGUGUUUACACUUAUCAUUAAAGCACCAAAUUAAGAACAAGAUCAUAGCCUUCAUGAGAGCGCUCAAAAUAAUUUGGGGCUUACACGAUCAACAAAGGUUGGACUUUAGGUUUAGAAGAACAGGGUGAUGAAUUGUGAAGUGUACUGUAGUAUGUAUUUCAUUAUUAAGAAAAUCAUUUGUGGAACGUGGCACGUCUCUAGGUGCCUUUUUUUGCCUUUUCUCUUGUUUUUUCUAACAUAAACUGCCUUUUCCUUCGCCUUCUCAUAUUUGUCUCUUCUGGAGGUUGGAAGUGAGAGACUUUAAUAGUAUGUGUGUUUUUACUUUCUCUGCCAAGGACACAUUAGAGAAAAUGCUACAGAGAAUGCAUAACUUCUUUGUUUUUUACAUUUAUAUUUUAAAUGGGUACCUGCUUCAACUUUGUGUAUCCAAGUAAUAGUACAGAACCAGAUUACCCAUACAAAUAAAACAAAAAAAUACCAAUUAAAAUAAAAAAAGGCAAGUAAAUCCAAUAAAUACCACUUUAUGUACAAGAGCAUUGUGCAUGAGUUUUCAUGCGUAACUAGUAGGAUGUUAAUGUUUAACGACAGCUGUUAGAAGAGAAUGUGAUUUAUUCAUGAAGCGGUUAACAAGCAAUGGGAAACACUCUAACAAUGGCCACCCUGACUGUUUAUCUUUCACAACUGUAUAUUACUUGCUAGCUACUUCUCUGUAUGUUUGUUAGUUUUUCGUCACUAACCGAUAAUGAAUGUAUGUUUUGCUGUACAGAAAAUGAAUGUCCCGAUGUCACAGUACAUUGAAUGACCCAUUACGUUGUUUAUAGAGCAGCUGCCAUUGGUGAGAUGUCCAGUUGGCAAAUUAAGUCCAAAUUGUUUAACUUCUCUGUGUUAUUGCUGCAUAAGGUAAUAACUAACAGCCCCACACAAGUCCUGAGCGAAGCUCCCUUUCUUCUGAUGGCUACAAAAAACCCAUUUCCUUUUUACUGCUAAUGCUAGUUCAAUCACUCAAAAACAUAUCAGCUAUAUUUCCAUCUGCUACAAACAAAUCAGAGGUUUCCGACAAAUAUCCACAUGAAUGAAUCGACUCAAUGUCUGCUUAUUGAAAUCUCUUUUGACAAGUGAGAGAGUGAUGAUUGCCUGAAAGUGAAAGUGCAUAUUCUACUUUAACAAAUUGGGUUCAUGUAAGAUACGAGUAAAAAAAAAAAAGAUCUAUAUUUGUUAUGUACUGUACAUGGUAUGUAUUGUAUUUGUAAAGAUGAAUCAAACCAUGUUUUACAGGAAGACGUUCUUGUAUGAGGAUGGAUGAAAAGACGGGAAGGAUCCCUAGGAAAAAUAAAUUAGAUUAUAUAUAAAAGUAUUUGCUUACAGUACGGCUUUAAGUGGAUAAUGUUUCUAAAACAUUUUAAGGUGCCUCAUUUGUCAUACUUUAGCAGACAUUAUUUUAUCUGAGAAGAAAAGAAACCUUAAUGUUAGUACCGUACGAUGUAUUAUUGCCAUAGCCCGCUGGCUGCACAAGUUAAGUAGUAUUUUCUCUGAUGUAUAGUACGUGAAUGCCCUUUGGAAAAAGCUUUAGAAGCAGACGUGUGUUGCCCUCUAUAACAAUAUUCUUGGAACAAAGUAAUACUCGUAGAUUUAUCCAGAUCUUUCGCCUUCAGGUGUCCAAAGCAAAUAAACGGAAGGAAACUUUUUUCUAAGAGUCACAGACAUGCUCUCGUCAUGUACAAUACGUGCUGUGGAGGAAACUGUGUUUACAUUAGUUUGAUGAAGAAAAGUGUGUUAGGGCAUAGUUGCUUUGAACAUUACGACUUGGUGCUAUGUUUAACUUUGUGGUGCUGUAGAAUAGAGGUCUAAAGAUUUUUUGUUCUGUUUCCACAAGUAGGCCCUGUGUGUUUGAGCAACUAAACUAGCUCCGGUAGACUCUAUAGGUCCUUAUCAUAACAGUAUCAUGGUGUGAUGACAGUGAUAGACAAUACUGGAAAAAUAGUAGUAUAACCUCGAGUAAUAGAGACUUGUGACAUUCAAAUGAACUCCUGUUUUCUAUAGUGUGUUUGCAAUGUCUGUCUGUGCUUCCAAGGUACCCUCUCUAAAGUAUAUUUGUGAUGAUAUUGACAAUAUUAACCAAGCCUAAAAGAGAACCUGGUUUAAAUUAGUACACAGCCGCAGGACACAUGAGAGGGAAUCUGAGAGCAAUGUCAGGUCGCGAGGGGAUCUUUUCUACACACUUCCUGUAGGUCCGCCAUCUUUGGUUAACAGCACUGUUUUUCAAGCACACUAUCUGCAGGGGCGUAACCGUCUCAUGUCAUCACCACUUUUCUGACCGUAGAAAUACUACUAGUACUGUACACUAUGGCCACGAGUAGCCAUCAGACCACAUUUGUAUGUAAUGCUGAUUCUCCUGGUUGAAAGGUGUUGGGAAAGCUCAUACAUCCUGUAUGCUUGUGUGGGUUUAAAACGAAUGGAUGUUGUCUUCCGGGCUCUUUUUUGCAUAUUCAACAGAAACAUGUAGCCUACAGCGUUUAAGAGGGCUGCUUUGGACGUACUGUUAGCUCGAUUUUUUUAUUUCCUUUUCAAUUUUUCUGCUUACAGCUUUUAGUGCAUCACUAGGUGCUGGUAGGAUGAUACUUAGAACCGAUUUGAUUUUUUUAUUGUAUUAAUCUUGCAUGUAGAGACAAUACAAAAAAAAACCUAUUUAGCAAUCAUUCAUGGACAUCCGAGCUGGUUGUUAUUGGACGGAAAAUAGAAAUAUGUAGUAUUUUCUAUAUUCUCUGUUUUUUCAUGUGUACCAGCACUGAGGAACUAGAAUGUAUUAUUAUCGUAGGCUACAAUAAGCACUACAUCGUUGACUGUUUUAGCUAUUGCUCAUACUCAAGCAAACCAAGUAGUGCUUAAAAAGGAAGAAAAUUGACUACAUUUAAUUUCAUUUUCAUCCACUGAACUCUGUGCUGUUCAUCCCAUGUUUACAUUCUGUAUUAUAUGUUGUUUAUUGGUUUUUUUGUACAUAGUUUGUCUCCAUAAUGGUCUUUAAGUUGUAUUCAACACUGUUCAUAUGUAAAUAUUUCCCAAACAUUUUUUUUACUUUUCUCUGUUUUAAAAUGAUAACCUGAUGUCCCUUUUUUUGUGUUCAGUUUUUAGACUUGUAUUUCCGUUAUGUCACCACAUCAGGUAUAACGCUUCACUUAACUUUUUGUGAGCAAUUAACUCAUACUGUAUGGUGCUGUACCAAAGCCUUAUGUAUAAUAUUUGUAUUACUUUAUCUCUUGUUUGCCACUGCUGUCCAGUGAAUUCUGUAUCAUCUGAGAUCAUGUCUUACUCACUCUUCAUGUUCAACUGCCAUGGAUCUCAUUUCUUUAUUGAGUAAACAGAAACCUGAACGAACUACGAUGUAAAAACUCUGGCCUGUAACCAACUGGCCUGGAUAUGACAGUUGCCAUCAAAAGCCUUUGUAAGGAGAAACACACAGGCUCACUGCUGGUGGCUCAUUGUGACGUAGACAUGGGCCUAGCACAUGAUCUAUGCUCUAUAUAUGGCAUGUAUGAGAAUAUGAAAACAGUGUUGUAUUCAUGUCACCAUAUCAUUUCAAAAUGCUUAGUCCCAUACGAAAUUUUCCUCUCAAAUUUUUGUAUUUUGAUAUAAUAAAAAAAUCAAAAGAG